AGAGUUUGAUCCUGGCUCAGGACGAACGCUGGCGGCGUGCUUAAAACAUGCAAGUCGAACGGACUUCUCAUGAAGCUUGCGAUUGAGAAGUUAGUGGCGGACGGGUGAGUAACGCGUGGGCAACCUGCCCCUGAGCCCGGGAUAACAGUUCGAAAGGACUGCUAAGACCGGAUAUACUUGCGGUGAAGCAUUUCACUGCAAGGAAAGGGAACGCUCAGGGAUGGGCCCGCGUCCCAUUAGCUAGUUGGUGAGGUAACGGCCCACCAAGGCGACGAUGGGUAGCCGGCCUGAGAGGGUGAACGGCCACACUGGGACUGAGACACGGCCCAGACUCCUACGGGAGGCAGCAGUUGGGAAUCUUCGGCAAUGGGCGCAAGCCUGACCGAGCAACGCCGCGUGAGUGAUGAAGGUUUUCGGGUCGUAAACCACUGUCAGUGGGAAAGAUGGGUGCCGGUGUUAAUACCAUCGGCAUCUGACGGUACCUGCAGAGGAAGCCCCGGCCAACUCCGUGCCAGCAGCCGCGGUAAUAC
rnacentral:rRNA from 1 species